AUUGAACGCUGGCGGCAGGCCUAACACAUGCAAGUCGAGCGGAAGGAGGGAGCUUGCUCCUGGAUUCAGCGGCGGAAGGGGGAGUAAUGCCUGUGAGUCUGCCGGGUAGUGGGGUGUGACGUCCUCAAACGGGCGCUAAUACCGCAUACUUCCAGAUGGAGAAAGUGGGGGAUGUUCGGACCUCAUGCUAUCAGAUGAGCCUAGGCCGGAUUAGCUAGUUGGUGGGGUAAAGGCCUUCCUAGCCGAGCAUCCGUAACUGGUCUGAGAGAAUGAGCGGCCGCACUGGAGCUGAGACACGGUCCAGACUCCUACGGGAGGCAGCAGUCGGCAAUAUUGGACAGUAGGCGAGAGCCUGAUCCAGCCAUGCCGCGUGUGUUGAGACGGUCUUCGGAUUGUAAAGCACUUUAAGUUGUGAGAAAGGGCAGUAAGUUAAUACCUUGCUGUUUUGACGUUAACAACUGAAUAAGCACCGGCUAACUUCGUG
rnacentral:rRNA from 1 species